rnacentral:lncRNA from 10 species
GUUUCACUGUGUCAGGAUUGGCCCACCUCGGCCUCCCAAAGUGCUGGGAUUACAGGCGUGAGCCACCGCACCCGGCCAGUCAUUGGUCACAUUCUAACCAGUUACAGGUCCUCUGCUGUCAAGAGACUACUACACACAGUUCAAAGAGCCCAAGAGUAGUUGUGAGGUUGGGAGGAGAAAAGCCUCUCCAUUGAAAAGGGGAAAAGAAUCAUCUUAGACUAUUUGUGCCAGAAAGACCUCAAAUUUCAAAUUCAAUUCAUGAAUAAUAAUAUAUUAAAAAGCCUUUUAAGAAUCUGACUUCCAACCAGAAUUUUAAAUGGACAACACAAGGUUUCAGAAAUAACAUCUGCAGUAGAUGUUUCAAGUCCAGUACUUUGCACAUAGUAGUCGGUCACUGCUAUGAGUCAAACUACACUGUUAUCUCCAUCUAUAACUGCGUAUCUCCUAGACUCUUCUCUUUCUUGGAACUGUGCAAUUCAAAUCUAGACCAUAUAAAAUAAGUUUAUUGAUUUAACAGAACUUGUGGUUUAAGAGAGAAUCUGCUGACCUGCCUGCCUAGCUUCCUAAAAUUUCAGUUUACAACUUGAGAUUAGGAAGCGACUCUUAAUAAAGGUCAUCAUCUAAGUUAUUUUCUACUGAUUUAGAUCUGACUUUCUAUCAGCUGAAACCUGUCUGAUGCUUUUGAAGCAAUUCUAGCAUGUGAAAUUGUAGUUACUGCAAGGCAAGAGACACGCACUGUGCUGCUGCUGAAUUCUGUCAUGAGUCAUCAUCUGCUGAAGGCAAAAACAGCAAAGAACCAUGUGCGCCAUGAUCGCUACUUGAUAAAAAGCCCACUGAAAUGGACAGCCUGGAAAUCCUCUACAUGUGCCUCUUCUCCAUCCCUGUGAAAAUUACUGCCCGAUGUAUGCACCACUCACAACAUGCAGCCGCUCAUUUUAUAAUUAACAGCCAAUAUCAUAAAUAGGAGCAAUGAAAGCAUGCAUGAUUUGCUGACACUGAAAAGGAAAAUAGAUUAGCAAGUCCUGAGUCCUGAGAAAAAGAAGGCCAUUUUGGGAAUUUCUUUUAAUUACAGGUGCAUGCACCCACCAUGCCCAGCUAAUUUUUGUAUUUUUAGUAGAGAUGGGGUUUUGUCAUGUUGGCCAGGCUGAUCUCGAACUCCUGACAUCAAGUGAUCCACCUGCUCCGGCCUCCCAAAGUGCUGGGAUUACAGACGUGAGCCACCGCGCCUGGCCUUUUUUUGGGAAUUUCUUUAUCUAAGGCUUGUCAAUACAAAAGAGAUUUGUUUGCCUUAGACUAAAACAAAAAAUUAAACAGGCCAUUUUUUCUGAGUAAAACAAAAGCCUAUGAUACUUAGGUCAACUAAACAAGCCUCUGACGGGCAACUAAAACUUUUUUUUUUUUUGAGAAAGGGUCUUGCUGUUUCAUUCAGGCUGGAAUGCAGUGGCUCAUGGCAGCCUUGACCUCCUGGACUCAAGCAGUUCUCCCGCCUGAGCCUCCUGAGGAGCUGGAAUCACAGGCAUGCGUGUACUACCACACCUAAUUUUUUUAUUUUCUGUAGAGACAGGGUCUCACCAUGUUGCCCAGGCUGGUCGUAAACUUCUGGGCUGAAGCAAUAUGCCCGUCUCAGCCUUCCAAAAUGCUGGGAUUAUAGGCAUGAGCCACUGUGCCCAGCCAACUAAAACUCUUUUUUUAAAAUCUUAAGUAGAAGUAAACUUUGUUUCUGACCACAAGGAAAAUAUAUUCAUUGGCAAAUCAAUAAAAAAAUAGCAAAUGUUCUUUACAGUGUUUCCUAUUAAAAUUUAUAAGCUUUAUAUGGUAAAACUAUUAUACUAAUCUUGUACAAAUGUCUGACCACUAAAUCUUUCACUU